AAACAGCUCCUCUCCAUGGCCUCUGCAUCAGCUCCUGCCUCUGGGUUCCUGCCCUGUUUGAGUUCCUGCUCUGACUUCCUUCAGUGAUAAAGAGUGAUCCAGCAAAGGGACUACAGUACCGCAGAUCUGGUGUCUCUGGCUGGUCCUAACGAUGCUGAGGGCACAGCUGGCGGCAGCUGUAUUAGACAGUGGGUGUGAAAGGGAUGCUGUACCUGCCCACACUACGAGCAAGAAGCCAUCUACUUGUUCGCCGUUUUGCAGGGCCCAGACUGAUGCCAUCAGCAAGUGAGUAUCGGGGGCAAUUCGGUAACAGAAAUGGAGUGAAAACGUCCUGUGUGGUAGAGAAGAAAGCAUUUGGAUCACAAACGGGGGAGCUGUAGCAUCAACCCUGACGACACCAGAGUGGAAACCUAACCACUGAGUCGUAGAAAAGCUAACGCUCAGAAGAGGGGUGUGAUUCUUGUUGGAAGUCACACUGCAGCGUAAAACCACGGAUUUCAUUUGCUCUAUUUCCUGUUCACUCACGGCUCCUUCUGGGCCUGAUUCGGGGACUGCGGUCCGAUCGCCCCCUAGUGGACACUAGGGACAUUACUUCUUCAAUGUUCAAGGACAGUUUCCUUUUUUUGUUUUUGUUUUUUGGUUUUUUAAAAAUGCUGCUUUGGUCGAGGCUGAACAUAUUCUUAAGGAAAACCAGUGGAUUUUUUAAGGAAUGUAGGUAAUAGUAGAACUCUGUCUUUGCCUCAUAAGUACUGGGAUUAGCGCUCUUCUUUCCUCUCGAGGAAUAUAGCUAUUGUACAAACCCAUGCAACACGACAUGCUGCUUUCGGUGGGAGCUAGAGCCCAAGUCAAUGAUGUAAGCUCCAGAAGGGGAGUGGGUAUUUGCCUGUGGAGCGACCCGCACCCUUUGCUCCCUCCAGCUCGUCACAGCCAGGCAGCCAGUUCUCUCUGAGCAAGGCUGCAUGGCGUGCUGGUGGGCCGCUUGCCGUCCUGGGUACAUGCCCCGUUCCUUUCUGUCAUAGUCAGAUGUUCAAAUGUCUCCUGUGAUUGGGAGCAAGUUAUUCCAUCCACUUCCUUGGCUCUGAUUGCUUGUCUGUUAGUAAAAUUAGGGGGAGAGGGCACAAGAUUGCCAACAAACUCUGACCCUAGAGACGUGAGGAUCAGAAAAAGUUCAAGAUCACCCUCAUCUACAUAAUGUCUGAGGUCAGCCCCAGGGCCUUUGAAAAAGUGAAUAUAGAUGGAAGGAACUAGUUGGGGACUCAUGAAGGAAGAGUAUGAGAAGCCGGAGACCCAGGACGAUGGAGAAAUCAGGCCUGAGGAGGCCCGAGUAAGAUCCCAUUUGAUCUUUGAAACAAAAGGAUUUCAUAGGACCUGGGAGACUGGAUUAUCCCUAGGUCUCAAUGCAGCAAAAGGUCCUUUAAGAGAGGUCAGAGCUGGACAAACAGCCCACCAGUUAAGAGCACGGGCUGCUCUUCAAGAGGAUCCAGGUUCAGUUUCCAGCACCCACACAGCAGCUCACAACUGUCUGUAAUUCCUGUUCCAGGGAAUUCAUUGCCUUCUUCUGGACUCCGAAGGCAUCAGGAGAGAGCUGCGAUUUGUGUUGACAGCACAAACCAACAAACAAACAAACAAAAUCAAAAGUGGGAAGCUCACCGGGGGCUCUGCAUGAAACCAGACAAUAGUCAGAUGGAGUAGCUCUUUGCUUCGGGCUCACUGACUCGUGAAUGUUCAUGGCCCCUUUCACUCUGUGCUGGAUGCUGUAGAUUCUGGGAGAGCAGCCUUGCCAACGGGCCAACUCUGCUUGCAGAAAAGCCAAAGCGAUGCAGAGGAAAAUAGAAGAAUUCUGAGCCUCCACCAUGGACUAUCUACAACGUCCAUUCCUUGUUUGUUUGUUUGGUUGGUGCGGCCCAGGCUGCCUUUUGCCUCAAGAUCUUCUUUGCCUUUCCAAGUGUUGGAUUACAGCAUGCUCUGUUAUAACUGACUUGUACAAUGUUUGUCCUUAAA